rnacentral:rRNA from 1 species
GACGAACGCUGGCGGCGUGCCUAAUACAUGCAAGUCGAACGAGAGCGACCGGUGCUUGCACUGGUCAAUCUAGUGGCGAACGGGUGAGUAACACGUGGGUAACCUGCCCAUCAGAGGGGGAUAACAUCCGGAAACGGAUGCUAAAACCGCAUAGGUCUUCGAACCGCAUGGUUUGAAGAGGAAAAGAGGCGCAAGCUUCUGCUGAUGGAUGGACCCGCGGUGCAUUAGCUAGUUGGUGAGGUAACGGCUCACCAAGGCCGUGAUGCAUAGCCGACCUGAGAGGGUGAUCGGCCACAUUGGGACUGAGACACGGCCCAAACUCCUACGGGAGGCAGCAGUAGGGAGUCUUCCGCAAUGGACGCAAGUCUGACGGAGCAACGCCGCGUGAGUGAAGAAGGUUUUCGGAUCGUAAAACUCUGUUGUUAGAGAAGAACAAGUGCUAGAGUAACUGUUAGCGCCUUGACGGUAUCUAACCAGAAAGCCACGGCUAACUACGUG